CACGUAGGGGGCAAGCGUUGUCCGGAUUUAUUGGGCGUAAAGAGCUCGUAGGCGGUUCGGUAAGUCGGGUGUGAAACCUCCAGGCUCAACCUGGAGACGCCACCCGAUACUGCUGUGACUCGAGUCCGGUAGGGGAGCGUGGAAUUCCUGGUAUAGCGGUGAAAUGCGCAGAUAUCAGGAGGAACACCAGCGGCGAAGGCGGCGCUCUGGGCCGGAACUGACGCUGAGGAGCGAAAGCGUGGGUAGCAAACAGG
rnacentral:rRNA from 1 species